rnacentral:lncRNA from 1 species
GGAAUCCAGACUGUGGGUCCUUUAACGCGCUGACCUGCGGGGACUGUGGUGGAGCUCUGCCGCCAUCUAGUGGCAAUAAAGGAGAGGUGCGCCUCCGAGCCCCCGGAAAGCCAAGGACGUUUCACCCAGGCCAGGCGAGAGUCUCUGUCUGGGGUACAGCCCUCACCACACGGCGCCGUCAGAGGGGACAUUGAGGAGGGACGAGGCGGUUAGCAUCUCCUCCGAUGCAGCGCUGCCUUCCUGAAUCAGGCAGACCCGGCCCGGGCCUUGCUGUGGAGGAACCAGGCGACGCCGGGACCCCGUGGGGCCUUCACCCAGGCUGGGCUGUCCCCCCAAGGUGCUGCCCACGGCGUCCCUGGACCUGAGCCGGAAGCUGGUGCGCUCCGUGGGGAUGCUUCCAACCCAGCCCGCUGACGUUUUCCAGCCGUCCUGGCAGCUGAAGAUUCAAUGUGUCACCUAGAAACCCAGCCCUUGGAAAAAAUCUCAACUGUGUUCCACGUGAGGGGCCAUGGGUGGCCAGGUUUUCAGGAUGCACGUGUUGACUUUUGACUUCCAAGUCCCAAAGCUCGCUUCAGUAGUUCCAGGCGGUUAUGACGGUGGCUCGCUGGCCUGAAUGAUCUUAAUCACGAAAGCACUUGUAAGUUAUUUUUUAUUUUAAUUUUUUUGAUCAAAUAAGUUUUAUGUGUUAUUUAUGAGAAAGACACUUAAGGAUUUAAAUAAACCUUUAAAAUAUUUACAUUUUUACUUCUGACGUUUUGUUUUACACCUUUUGAAAACAGGAGCUUUUCUGUUCUCCCUUUGCACUUUUAUAACGUUUGUGGUUUUUAUUGCAUGUUUCAGGUGUACAGCUUUAUAAUUCGACGUCUGUGUGCACUACACAGCGCUCCCCGCCACCGCCUGCUUCCCACCCUCACCGCGCCGCCCACGCGCGGUGGUCAGCUGGCCGGCCGGCGCCGCUGGCUGGUGGCCUCCCCGAGACACGCAGGCACCGAGACUUCCGUGGGGACCGAGGCGUCCGGGUCCUGCCCCUCACUCCUCCCCCUGCUCGUGGCCCCGACGGACCAGGACCAAAUGCGUGCCGCUUGGUGGCCGCGGAGCUCCAUGAUGGCUGAGGUGCACCAGCCGAUGCUGUCUGUGAGGCUGUCCUGCGACCGCGAUGGCUCCUCCACGGUAGCAAGCUCACUCUGAAGUCUCGAAGCUGUGUGGCGGCGGCCAUGGGGCCGUGGGGGAGGUGCCGGGGACAGGAGCCAGCACUGUGUGAACGCAGGCCUCAGCAGCAAAGGACCUCCUGACUCUUGAGAGAAAAGGGAGAAGUUGCAAUGUCUGAAAAAUGUUUGGUAACGUUGGCAAACCUUUCUAAGAUUGUUUGAAGUUACGGUGGCACUUGAUGAUCACAUUUUAAACACAGUAGAUCUCGACUUAAAAUGAGCCCAGGUAAGAACAACACUUUAGAGCAGCAGACUCAGGACGUGAGUAAAAUGCUGCCUUCUGGGGCAUCACCUGGUUGUUUCAGCCAGGAGUCGAGGAGAACUUCAUGAAGGUAGGAAUAAAGGAGGUUCAUCUGCAGUAGGGCGUCA